AGGCCCACUGCUCUAGGAAAUAUUAUCAAGCCAAAUCCACUAGUAAUCUGCUCAAAAUUCAAUAAAUUAAUAAAGCUACUUUGACAAAAUCUGGGGAUUGCCUUCAUUUUUUUUUAUUUUUACAUGUUUUCUUAGAAAUCGUCAUAUCAGCUGAAAAUGGUGCCCGUGUCCUCCUCCGCCAAGCUGAAAUCUCAACAACAGCAUCCCAUCUCACCUUUUUACCAUCAUUCUGACACACAACGUUUAAAAUCCGAUUGAAUUUGUGCUGCUAUAUCAACUAAAUCCCAAUCACAAUCUUAAACGUCUCAUUUUUCCUCAUCAUUUCAGUGUUGCUGUGGGCCGCCAGAUCCUGCCACACCCCAACCCUUUGUUUGAGUCUUGGUAAAAAGAGGAGAAAUGGAAAAAAAACAACCGAAACGCACCCUAAAGGAAGAGGGACCAGAUUCCAGCCUUUCACAAAUGCUCACACAAGCUGGACUAACCCAACAAACAUCUCUGGUAUAAAUGCGUCCCAAGAGACUUGCAGAACCCCCUCCAGCUCAAACAGAUUGAUCCUAAAUCCAUUGAUGCUGCCUGGAUGUGGCGUCAAAGUCAAGGCUAUGCCCUGCAGACCUUGUGGCCAGCAUAUCUAUCAGUUAGAUCGCUGAGAUGAUGACUUUCUGGAAACCGGGAGAAGAUAAAACACCGACAAUGCACAUCUGAACAUAUAAAGCCGCUUCCCUCUUCUUUUUCUUUCUUCUUUUGUGAACUCCUGUGUUCUUCCUUGUUGCAACAGUCUGUCAAUAAACCCACGUCUUAUUCUUU